rnacentral:tRNA from 1 species
GGCUGGAUAGCUCAGUUGGUAGAGCACCGGAACAGAAAUCCGGAGGUUGCAGGUUCAAACCCAGCUCCAGUCA